CUCCUUUGACGUUAGCGGCGGACGGGUGAGUAACACGUGGGUAACCUACCUAUAAGACUGGGAUAACUUCGGGAAACCGGAGCUAGUACCGGAUAAUAUUUCGAACCGCAUGGUUCGAUAGUGAAAGGUGGUUUUGCUAUCACUUAUAGAUGGACCCGCGCCGUAUUAGCUAGUUGGUAAGGUAACGGCUUACCAAGGCGACGAUACGUAGCCGACCUGAGAGGGUGAUCGGCCACACUGGAACUGAGACACGGUCCAGACUCCUACGGGAGGCAGCAGUC
rnacentral:rRNA from 1 species